rnacentral:lncRNA from 1 species
ACAUACGUACGUGCAAAGCUAGCAAGCUAGCAAGCAGGUAGCUGGAUGGAUAUCCAACCACGUAUGUGUGUGUGUGCAGCCGGAUCGUUUCUUCAACCGGCUACGAUCGACACGACACGAUUUCGGCGGAACGAACACGAAGGCACGAAUCGAUGUAUGGCCACAGGCUCGUGUCGAGCCUGUCAAACUUUGUAUUGCUUUUUGUUUUUCUGGUGGUACAAUCAACACCCCUAGGGUGUCUUUUAUACACGUCCACAAGGGACUAUGGAAAUAGACUAGGACUAGGUAUCCUAAUACUACUAGGACUAGGUUUGGCUUUCUUUCCUAAUCCUACAGGAACAACAUGAUUAACUUCUACAAGCGCCGGCUCUGCAAUCC